GACGAACGCUGGCGGCGUGCCUAAUACAUGCAAGUCGAACGAGUGGCGGACGGGUGAGUAACACGUGGGAACCUACCCAUCAGAGGGGGAUAACACUUGGAAACAGGUGCUAAUACCGCAUAUUGAUGGCUGGACCCGCGGUGCAUUAGCUAGUAGGUGGGGUAAAGGCUCACCUAGGCGACGAUCUCUAGCUGGGCUGAGCGGAUGAGCAGCCACACUGGGACUGAGACACGGCCCAGACUCCGACGUGAGGCAGCAGUGGGGAAUAUUGCACAAUGGGCGCAAGCCUGAUGCAGCCAUGCCGCGUGUAUGAAGAAGGCCUUAGGGUUGUAAAGUACUUUCAGCGGGGAGGCGUUACCCGCAGAAGAAGCACCGGCUAACUCCGUGCCAGCCGCCGCGGUAAUUC
rnacentral:rRNA from 1 species